rnacentral:lncRNA from 1 species
GAGGUGCCGGAAGACAUUUCAAACAAAGGCCCUAAAAAUCCUGGAGAAAUCAGGCGGGACAAGAGGCGAAAGAUUUGCGGGGGACCAAACCAGAGGAAUGCGGCAGAAGAAAAAUGGAGGAGAAAGGGCAUCUAGAUGGCAAGAAGAGAAAUGAAAGUUUCAGGACUAACCUAGAUCGCUCCGAAGGAUGCAGAGGGGUGAGGACAGGGAUGACUCGAAGAAUGCUUAGGGCCAAGGUGGACGCCAAAGAGGGUCAGAGCUUUUGGAGAGAAGGCAGAUACCGACAGAACUCUCAGACGGAAUGAGACUCCUGAAGUCGGAAAGACGGAUUUAAAUGGACCCUGAGAUCCGGCGCUAUAAUGAUCGUGGAUCUCCCCAGGCCAACCCACGCUCGCCACGUGUCCCACUCGCCACC